AUGCAUACUUGGCAGGGGAGACACCUUGAUCAUGAAAGAGAUUUUUCCAGGGUGAGCCUCAUUCAUUGCACAAUGGGUGUACUGACCCCUGAGAUGCCCCCACAGAAAAAAGAAAAGAAAAAAAGAAAUGGACAUAUUUUAAAGGAUUGUAAAGAAUCAUUCCAGUGAGUGCUUUUUC